CCCCAUUCCCUGAGACCCUAACUUGUGAUGGUUAUGUUAAAUGUCUCACAGGUUGGAUUCUCGGGCCUGGGUG
rnacentral:pre_miRNA from 1 species